UGUCAAGAUUUUAAUUCCCCACGUCAACAAGACUUUGUUCAAUUUACUUGAUUGAACUUUAAACUAUUUGUCUCAAUCAAUUAUUAAGCAAAAACUCAUAACCAUGGCAGCUCAGGCCUAAGUAAAUUGUUUCUUCGACAUGUUGUUUAAUCAUACCUUCUGGCCAUGAAAAUGAUUUCAUCACACAUCCGAAACAGUGUGCUGCUUACAAUUCCCUCAACGAUUGCAAUGUCACAAUUUGCUGUUGACAACAGUUUGCUACAUAUGUACAUAAGUACUCCACAGGCAAGUUUUCCAGCUGGGCUUUAUAGUUUUUCACGAUUCCUCAUGGGCGAGAUGAGUUGCUGUUGCAACUGCAGCUGCAGCUGCUCUGCCAGGUGAAGGACAUUGUACAACAUCAAAUGUGCGGCCCUGCGACCGAGUGUUCACUGUAGUCGAGUUGAAAAUGUGGCAAAGUUUGUCAAGUCUCACAGGUGAAUUAACUUUUCCGCUCCACUCGCUGCUACUUCUGCUGCUGCUGCUGUUGCUGUUACCUGCUGCCUGCCGCCUGCUGCAGGCCAAAAAACUUUCGGGCCAAGUCAAGAUGCAUUUGGCGAAACUUUAGCAGCUCCGUGAAUUGUCAACCGCAGGAGCAAAAGGUGGCAAAUGGCAGCAGGUGGCAUCGAAGCCUUAACACUUGACUGCCCGCUAAGCCAAUGCCCAAGUUAUGUCACCCAGAAAUUGUAUUUAAAUUGGAUGCUUUAAUAUCUCCCAUUUAUCGGGGUCAUAUCUGCUUGGGACGUUUGCGGUUGAAAUUGGUGGGAAAUGGAUGUUGGUCGGGCUGCACAGAAAAAAAAGAGGACAUAAUUUAGGGGUUUGUUAUUUUAAAUUAGUUUGUUACCACUUAUGUUCGAGAUUAAAAUGGAAUAAUUAUUUUUAUGUUAA